rnacentral:rRNA from 1 species
GACGACGUCAAAUCAGCAUGGCUCUUACGCCUUGGGCUACACACAUGAUACAAUGGCUGGUACAAUGGGUUGCCAACCCGCGAGGGGGAGCUAAUCCCAUCAAAGCCGGUCUCAGUUCAGAUUGCAGGCUGCAAUUCGCCUGCAUGAAGUUGGAAUCGCUAGUAAACGCGCAUCAGCCACGGCGCGUUGAAUACGUUCUCGGGUCUUGUACUCACCGCCCGUCAUACCACGAAAGCUGGCAGUACCCGAAGGCUCCUUUUUAGGGGACGAAGGUAAGGUCAGUGAUCAGGGUAAAGUCGUAACAAGGCAUCCGUAGCGGAAGCUGUGGAUGGAUCACCUCCUUUCU